AGUUUUGUUCCUCAGUUUUCUGCAGAUGAAAUGAUAGAAAGCUAGAUUUGAGUUUUAGACUUUCUCUGGCUAGCAUGAGCUGGUCUUGACUUGAAGCUCCUUUGUCUGCCACCAGUGGAUCUACUGAGAACAGAGGCUCUUAUCCAAAGGCAGCUCAUGACAACAGAGGAAAGAGCAGAUCAUGGCCCCAAAUCCUGCCCUGGAGCUGAGCAGGGCUCAAGGAGUGGCCCCGUGUGGAGAAGCAGAUGGAGCUCUGCAAACUAUCAGCAUGCUGGAUUUUAUGGAGCAUUUCUGGAGCUGAGGGACAACUGUCUGGGAAUUUCCAGGUCAGGUAACCUUGCUCACUCUUGUAGAAAGCCUGAGGAGCUCCAGGAGGGAUUUAAAGAAGAGAUCUUCCUCUCCUGUUCAGGUGAAUAGUCAUGAAUUAGACUCUUGGGAGACUAAAGCAGUAUAAAUACAUGAGGAAAUCUUUUGA
rnacentral:lncRNA from 1 species